rnacentral:rRNA from 1 species
CCUACGGGCGGCUGCAGUGGGGAAUAUUGGACAAUGGGUGCGAGCCUGAUCCAGCCAUGCCGCGUGCAGGAAGACGGCCUUCUGGGUUGUAAACUGCUUUUGCCAGGGGAUAAAAAGACCAUGCGUGGUCAAUUGAAGGUACCUGGUGAAUAAGCCACGGCUAACUACGUGCCAGCAGCCGCGGUAAUACGUAGGUGGCAAGCGUUGUCCGGAUUUAUUGGGUUUAAAGGGUGCGUAGGCGGUCUUAUAAGUCAGUUGUGAAAUACUUCAGCUUAACUGGAGAGGUGCAAUUGAUACUGUAAGACUUGAGUACAGACGAGGUAGGCGGAAUUGACGGUGUAGCGGUGAAAUGCUUAGAUAUCGUCAAGAACACCGAUAGCGAAGGCAGCUUACUAGACUGUAACUGACGCUGAUGCACGAAAGUGUGGGGAUCAAACAGGAUUAGAUACCCCAGUAGUC